CCUACGGGAGGCAGCAGUGAGGAAUAUUGGUCAAUGGACGCAAGUCUGAACCAGCCAUGCCGCGUGCAGGAAGACGGCUCUAUGAGUUGUAAACUGCUUUUGUACGAGGGUAAACGCAGAUACGCGUAUCUGUCUGAAAGUAUCGUACGAAUAAGGAUCGGCUAACUCCGUGCCAGCAGCCGCGGUAAUACGGAGGAUUCAAGCGUUAUCCGGAUUUAUUGGGUUUAAAGGGUGCGUAGGCGGUCGGAUAAGUUAGAGGUGAAAUCCCGAGGCUCAACUUCGGAAUUGCCUAUGAUACUGUGCGGCUAGAGAGUAGUUGAGGUAGGCGGAAUGUACGGUGUAGCGGUGAAAUGCUUAGAGAUCAUACAGAACACCGAUUGCGAAGGCAGCUUACCAAGCUACUUCUGACGUUGAGGCACGAAAGCGUGGGGAGCAAACAGGAUUAGAUACCCGUGUAGUC
rnacentral:rRNA from 1 species